UCUAUAAUUAUUUAUAGAGAGAAGACUAUAUCUUAAGUCAUUAAUAGACCCAUUAUCAUUUAGUCGUUGAACUGCAUCCUUUGAAGGAAUUGGCUGCGAGUUUGUCCAAAAUAUUAAUUUAUUACUGGAAUACAGUAUUAACAUUAUGAGGAAGUUACCGCAAUUUGAUAAUGUUGCAAUAGAAUUUAAUCUAUUACUAGAAUCCGAACAUAAUACAGAUUCUGUUAC
rnacentral:ncRNA from 1 species